AUGGAUGGUAAAUAUAGUUCCCCCGAGCUGCUGGGGAGGCAGCCGCUAAUGAAUGGCUGCUCUGCCUUCCUGGCCUCCCUAAUUGAGAGAUCAGAGGAAAUGACACCUCGCAGCAAACCCGGAGGCCGCGGAGGUUUUUGCACCACCACACCCUCCUCGCUCAGCACCCCAGGGGCCAUCGGCAGCCCCUCUGCCCGCCGCAGGAAGGAGACGGCAGCCGCAUCGCCUUGAAGUGCCCGAGUCUCACAGCUCUAACAACACAGGAACAAGGGUAAGUCUGUUGUCCUGCAACACCUGCCCUGGAGCUCAGCCUUGGAGCUGAAAGGGUUCUUUCUUUUCCUAAAUCAGUCCUCAAUAUGGAAUAUUUUCUAUGUGCAAAACAAACUCUGGCAAAACUGAGGCCAAGUCUCCGCUCCCUUGUGCUGUUUCUGUAAACCCCACUGGGCUCUCCCAGCUUGGUUCUGGUUGCAGCAUGCCUGGAGAUGUCUGCUGAUAACCUCGUCUGAGCAAAAACAAAGUGAAAGGAGGGAUAUCUCCCAGUACUAUGAGGCUUGCUUUCCCUGAAAAGCAUCUCUCUGGGAUCUGCCCCUACCUGCCCCUGCAAGAGGGGAAUGCCGCCAUCUGGUGCCCAUGUCUUGGUUUUGGCUGGACCAGGUGAGGAUGUGGGUAGGUAGGAGCUGGCCCCUGGUGAGUCUAAGGCUCCUCUGUUGCUCAGGGGCAGCCCUAAAUCUUGCUCGGGAGCAGGGGAACCCUGAGGUUACCUGAGAACUUACUAUCUUGUCCCCAGAUCUGCAGGAAGCAGCAAAAAGCUUUAUGCUAGAGGAGUUGCCCAGCCACUACUACCUGUAGGACCUGUUUUUUAAAGGAUCAAAUUGGCCAAGAGCUGGUCUGGAUUUCUUAUUUCUUUCUAGUGCCAACAAAUGGUGUACUGGCUGUGAGGGAGAGUGGUGUGUGCUUGUCACAGUGCAAACAUCAUGGGCCUCCCAACAGCAGGAUCCAGGGAUUAUAAUCCAUGUCCUGCCCUCAGAUAUAAAAGAGGCAGAAAACGGGUGUGAGACUCUGAACAGUGAUGAAAGGCUAGCUCACAACUGGAGAGACUGGGAUGAAGGUUGAGGAACUAAGAGUCUCCAACUGAUAGAGACACGUCAAUCAAGUCAACAGCUCUCUUUCUAACUAAUCCCUGAUUGCUGAGUCUUUGGGGCAUGCUGUGUCCUUGCAAUGGAUUCUGAGUAUGUCUUGGUUUAGGUCUAUGAUUUAUAAGUGAAACUGUGGGCUGUUAUUUCCAUCUCAUGUCAAGUAUACAUAUCACCCUUUGUUUGGGGUCUAAGAUGCAGCUAAAACCCUUCACAGGAGUAUCACUGAAAUUUAAACUUUUGUAAACUGAGGGGACAGGUCACAGGGACCUGCAGACUUGCUGUUUGUACCCUGUAAAGAGAAGAGCAGCUGCAGCAGGAAUAAGCAUAUGCAAGCUGGUUUUAGUAUAUCUAAAGAUCAGACAGAUGUAAGUCACUGCUUCUUUAGAAAAUAGCCUUCAUCAAGAUUAGUGUAUUGACAGGAUGUGAAAAUGGGCUGAAUCCACAAGAACUUCACAACAAGCUAGUCCAGGUAUGACUACAUGUGUAGUCAGUUUUCUCCUUCCUUUUAUGGAUGAUCUGGUGGAUGCAAAUGUUAUGUACAUCUCACAUAUAUUGCACAUCAAUGGUGUUUUGUUAUUGUGAAAGCAAGAGAGAGUUACAGUGCAACAGGAUUUUUCAAACAUACACUACCUUAUAAACUUGGAAUAAAGAAGAAAGUAAUGUAACA
ensembl:lncRNA